GGUGCCGGCAGCCGCCGCCGCCGCAACUUUGUUGGGUGAAAAGCAUUCUUUGGACUGGACCAGAUAUUAACUCUGACAGGAAUGAAAAUCUGAAGAAUUUUGUGAACCUACAGCUCUCUAAAGAAAUUGAUGAGCAGGGUUUCACAAUGGCAUGAUUCCUCUGAAGCUGAUUGUGACAGCCACCAGGAGUUUUUGCUAAAGCUGCGUGUGCUUGCCUUCUCAGGAAUUUGGAUAGUGCUGCCACCUGAAGGGAGGUGACCAUAAUACUUGCUGGGGACUGCAGGGAGAGGAGCAUUGACAUCUGAACUUGGAUCAGUGUAUGCUGAUUUGCAGCCAGGCU